CCUAAGGUAGCGAAAUUCCUUGUCGGGUAAGUUCCGACCCGCACGAAAGGCGUAACGAUUUGGGCACUGUCUCAACGAGGGACCCGGUGAAAUUGAAGUACCUGUGAAGAUGCAGGUUACCCGCGACUGGACAGAAAGACCCCAUGGAGCUUUACUGCAACCUAAGAUUGAACUUAGUUAAUGAAUGUACAGGAUAGGUGGGAGACGUAGAACCUAGGACGCCAGUUUUAGGGGAGUCGCUGUUGGGAUACCACCCUUUCAUUAAUUGAUUUCUAACGGGCCGAGUAACGACCGGCCGGACAGUCUUAGGCGGGCAGUUUGACUGGGGCGGUCGCCUCCUAAAGAGUAACGGAGGCGCCCAAAGGUUCCCUCAGAGCGGACGGAAAUCGCUCGAAGAGUGUAAAGGCAGAAGGGAGCUUGACUGCGAGACGGACAGGUCGAGCAGGGACGAAAGUCGGGCUUAGUGAUCCGGUGGUGCCGAGUGGAAGGGCCAUCGCUCAACGGAUAAAAGCUACCCUGGGGAUAACAGGCUAAUCUCUCCCAAGAGUUCAUAUCGACGGGGAGGUUUGGCACCUCGAUGUCGGCUCAUCACAUCCUGGAGCUGGAGUAGGUUCCAAGGGUUGGGCUGUUCGCCCAUUAAAGUGGUACGCGAGCUGGGUUCAAAACGUCGUGAGACAGUUUGGUUCAUAUCCAUCGCGGGCGCAAGAAGUUUGAGGGAGGCUGCUCCUAGUACGAGAGGACCGGAGUGGACGGAUCAACGGUGUACCAGUUGUCACGCCAGUGGCACGGCUGGAAAGCCGCAUCCGGAAAGGAUAAACGCUGAAAGCAUCUAAGCGUGAAGCCCGUCCCAAGAUGAGACUUCUCAUCAGCAAUGAGUAAGACCCCUUAAAGACGAUGAGGUUGAUAGGCUGUGAGUGGAAGAGCCGCGAGGCUUGGAGCGACGCAGUACUAAUAGGUCGAGGUCUUAACUUA
rnacentral:rRNA from 1 species